AAUCUACCUCCAAACUCCAUCCCAUGGCGGAGGCAGCUACCUGCUACCAGGCCAACCUGGGCUGACACUAAACUGCUGUCCUUCACAAGGCUCCACCUGUCAGAGGAGGACCCUAUUUUUGCUCUGUUUGCCUAAGCUACCGCCAUCAUUUACAGGAAUCCCCUGGGAUCCUGGCCAAAAUGCAGAUUGACACGAGAGUGGAUUUGGGGAAGGAAACAAAGAAAGGGCUUGAUAUUUAUUAGCUCGGCGGUGAGCUGGUCAGCGGAGAUCCACGCUCCAGGGGACGAGCCGAGUCCAGCUCCACAGGCCGCUCCACCCUCCUCUGCUCAGACCAACUGGAGCUCCUCCCGGGGCAAUGCUGGCUGGCGCCCGGGGUACAGGAGGUGGCACCGGGGGCAGCGGGCCCGCGUCUCCCUGCAGGAGGGGGGCUCUGGGCUGUGAAGGAGCCUGGCUAGCAAUCUGGCUGGGAGGCCACCCGGGCCUGCUCAGGACAGGCAGCGAGCUGGGAGCAGAAUGGAUGCCAGCCCCAGAGAUGCCCGCAGCCCUCGGGAGCACUCCCUGGAGGACGGCCGCCCCGGCCUCGGAGGCCCAGGAGCAGCUGGUUGGCAAGAGUUUGCUCAGGGAGAGGAAAGGAAGGAAAUGUCAGGCGCCGCCAAAGAGCAGCAGGCCAUGCCCUCUCGUGCCCCAUCACGGCCGAGGCUGAGUCGCGAGUGCAAGCAGAGCCCAGUUCCAGGAGCUCCCCGACGAUCCUGCCGGGCGCACCACGCUAGACACCGCGCAGGAGCUCAGAGACAAGGCCGCGGGAUAAGCCCCCGCCCUGAAGACUGUGUGACCUCUCUCCCUGCCAAGCUGAGAAACUUCCUGGGAUGUCAGCAGAAGAAGGAGAAAAAAAAUCAUGGAAGAGACUUAGGGAAGAAAAGACUUCAGGAAGAAGGGCUGGAGGCUUUGAAGAUAAAGUGCUGUCCUGGCUAGAUCCUGUGGAGAUGCCAUGGCCGCGGCACCUGCCACCCAGAGGGGCCUCUUGCUGGGCGGGAGGCCUGGGGGUCAGCCUCAGAAUGGCCGGCUGGGGCGACCGUCCACGCCUCCUGAGAGCCCCUCUUCAGGAGACGGCGGGUGGCUCAGGAAGCAGGUUCUUGCCCCGUUUCCCACGAAUCCUUGGGUAAAAGCCCGGCCUCCGGUGGCGUCAGCUCCCUCUUGCUCCCUUGCCAUUCCCGAGUGCUCCGGCCCAUCGGGGCCCCACGCGCACCCAGCAGCCCGGCCUGGGCUGGGUAACGUUGCCAAGAAGCGAAGCGCCUCCACCUCUGGUGACUCUCCUCCGAAAACCAGUUCCUGAGGGAUAAACUCAGCUGUGAGAGCUUCAGAGGAGGCCACUUAGGACCUCCAGUAGUCGGACACCGACAGCAGCCCGAAGGGUCCAAGCUCCACCAUGGUCACAUCAGCAUGGAAAGAACCUGCGGCAGGGCCUCACCCAACCUUACCAGCCACUCGCUCAUCAGGGCCCCGGCUCCCAGGCCUCCCCCGCCAGCCAAUCACUGAAGGCCCAAGCUCCUUGUUUUGUUGAGUCCACCAUGAAACCAAACCCUUUCCAGAGCCUUGAUUAACCUUAUUAAAGCUCAUAAAAGUCCCAG
rnacentral:lncRNA from 1 species